rnacentral:rRNA from 1 species
AUUGAACGCUGGCGGCAGGCUUAACACAUGCAAGUCGAGCGGGGGAAGGUAGCUUGCUACCGGACCUAGCGGCGGACGGGUGAGUAAUGCUUAGGAAUCUGCCUAUUAGUGGGGGACAACAUCUCGAAAGGGAUGCUAAUACCGCGUACGUCCUACGGGAGAAAGCAGGGGAUCUUCGGACCUUGCGCUAAUAGAUGAGCCUAAGUCGGAUUAGCUAGUUGGUGGGGUAAAGGCCUACCAAGGCGACGAUCUGUAGCGGGUCUGAGAGGAUGAUCCGCCACACUGGGACUGAGACACGGCCCAGACUCCUACGGGAGGCAGCAGUGGGGAAUAUUGGACAAUGGGGGGAACCCUGAUCCAGCCAUGCCGCGUGUGUGAAGAAGGCCUUAUGGUUGUAAAGCACUUUAAGCGAGGAGGAGGCUACUCUAGUUAAUACCUAGGGACAGUGGACGUUACUCGCAGAAUAAGCACCGGCUAACUCUGUGCCAGCAGCCGCCGUAA